rnacentral:rRNA from 1 species
CCCUUAGAUGUUCGGGGCCGCACGCGCGCCACACUGAAGGAAUCAGCACGUCUUUCUCCUUGUCCGAAAGGACUGGGUAACCCGCUGAACCUCCUUCGUGCUAGGGAUUGGGGCUUGUAAUUCUUCCCCAUGAACGAGGAAUUCCCAGUAAGCGCGAGUCAUAAGCUCGCGUUGAUUACGUCCCUGCCCUUUGUACACACCGCCCGUCGCUACUACCGAUUGGAUGGUUUAGUGAGAUCCUCGGAUUGGUCCCGGAGCGGCCUCUGGUCGUGCCGGAGUGCCGAAAAGAAUGUCGAACUUGAUCAUCUAGAGGAAGUAAAAGUCGUAACA